AGUUAAAGCCAUAAUAAUUUAUUGCGGGUUACAGUCAGGCAGCGUGUUCAGCGGGAACUCCGGAAAGUUCCAUGGAAAACCAGCCUUUAAAUGGGUCCCAGCUCAUCAGCACUUGCCCUUUCCGCUGGCGGUCGCCUGUUCCUCAUCUUGGCUGUUUAUGUUAUCCAGCUCGGAGGAAGAGGUGCCUUGGAAAUCCACUUUCCCCUUAACAAAUCUUGGUUUUUCAACUCGGACCUCGAGUUGAAAAAUCAGUGUGGGCUCCAUAGAUUGUGAUGUGUUGAGUUAGAUUUACUUCUUCAGAACUCAUGCAGGGUGAUGUCUUGGUGGUCAGAGUCAGUACAUAAAGGGUGGAGACUUGAUGUAAAGAUGGCAUCUCGGCGCUGUGGCACAGCGGGUUAAAGCCCUGGCCUGAAGUGCCAGCAUCCCAUAUGGGCACUGGUUCUAGUCCCGGCUGCUCCUCUUCUGAUCCAGCUCUCUGCUAUGGCCUGAGAAAGCAGUAGAAGAUGGCCCAAGUCCUUGGGCCCCUGCACCUGCAUGGGAGACUUGGAAGAAGCUCCUGGCUCCUGGCUUCGGAUCAGCGCAGCUCUGGGCAUUGUGGCCAUCUGGGGAGUGGAUGGAAGGCCUCUCUCUGUGUCUCUACCUCUCUCUGUAACUCUGUCUUUCAAAUAAAUAAAAUAAAUCUUUAACAAAAAAAAAUAAAGAUGGCAUCUGAGAGGAGGGUCCCGAGGGAGGUCUUAGGGCCACUGCUGUCGGAGGGUGGUUCUCUUGGGAAGUUCGAUGAUUUCAGCUCAUGUCCAGCCUAGGUUCUUUCUUUCUCCUUCCCAGCAAGCCUCCACCAGAAGCCAGAUGACGAGGCUACCCUCUCCUGUGAUCUCCAAAACUAUGGGUGUGGUUUGGUGACGCAUUUUAGGCAGGAAAGUAGGAAGUCAAAGCUUUGGGCGUAAGAAAGCAUCUGGAGCCAUGAGCGGAGUCGUUGGCCUAAGGCACAGGGUACAUGAGCAGUGGCCCUGGAAAAAUCAACUGAGAUGUGGGAAUAGAGUGCCUUGGAUCCCACAUCGAAGACGGACAUUCCAGACAUUCAGAUGGAUGACACGAGAAACCACUAGCGAAGGUAAAGGUAUAAAAGGUUGGUGUUGUAGCCACAUGAAUGGAAGUCAGGCAGAACCCAGGAGCUCUGGGGAUGCAUGCUAUUCCACAACGAUGCAGUCUUGUGUUUUAUUGUGCCAGAUGAUGUCGAUCUUUUCUUCUUUGGAAUGUGG
rnacentral:lncRNA from 1 species